AAAAGUUGAAAGAAAAUCCACAAUAAACCUUAAAAGAAUCCUUAAGAAGUUCUAAAAAAUAUUAAAAUAAUUAAAAAUACAUCUUAAAUAAAUCUCAACUAAGUUCUAAUUUAAUUCUAGGUGAAACUCUAAUAGACUUCAAUCAAACCUUAGACAAAUCUUAAAUUCUAAAUCAAAUCUUAGAUUAAAUUUUAGAUCCCAAACCAAAUCUUAAAUCAAAUCUUAGAUAAAUUCUAAAUCCUAAAUCAAACCCUAGAUAAAUCCUAGAUCCUAAAUUAAACCAUAAAAAAAUCCUAAAUUCUAAUUCAAAUCUUAAAUCAAAUUCUAAAUAAAUUCUAAAUUAAACCUUAAACAAAUUCUAAAUCCUAAAUCAAAUCUUGGACAAAUUCUAAAAUCUAAACCAAACCCUAGAUCAAACCUUACAUCAAAUCUUACAUCCUAAAUCAAAUCCUAGAUCAAAUCCUAUAUCAAACCCUAGAUCCUAAACCAAAUCCUAACUCUACUCAAUUUAAUACUAGUGUAGUUUAGAACCUCAAUAUCUAUCAAUUGAAGUGUUGAUCUUGCUUAAAAAAUUUAUACACCUUUUAAUAACUAAAUUGGCAACUAGAAAAUAAAAUUUGAAGAUAAUUGCACUUAUCAAAUUGAAGAAAAAUCCUAAUUUCUACUCAAGUAUAGGCUAGCCUUCUAUUCCAAUCUAAAUAUAGAA
rnacentral:lncRNA from 1 species